rnacentral:misc_RNA from 1 species
GAGCAGAAGGGACGUGAGAUCAACAGAGGGACGUGAGAUCAGAAGGAGCAGAGUAGGAAAGAAAUAAGGAGAGGACAGAAAAAAAAAAAAAAGAAAAAAAUAAAAAAUAAAAAACAGAGCAGAAGGGACGUGAGAUCAACAGAGGGACGUGAGAUCAGAAGGAGCAGAGUAGGAAAGAAAUAAGGAGAGGACAGAAAAAAGUGCAACGUGAGAUCAACAGAGGAGAGCAGAGGAGAGCAACGUGAGAUCGACAGUGGAGAGGGAGAGAAAAAAAAAAAAAAAAAAAACGUGAGAGAGAUCGAAGCAGCGCAACAGGAAAGGAAAAAAAAAAGGAUCUGAGAGAGAGAUCGAACAGAGGUGGAGACUGGAGAGGGAGAAAAAAAAAAA